rnacentral:guide_RNA from 1 species
AGGUUAUAAUUAACAACUCAAUAAACUAUGAAGCUAUGAU